AAGCAACAGUCUGCGAUCCUAGUUUAGAAGAACAACAGAAAAUAAAGGCAAUAUGCCUGAAUGAGCGUAUCUCCUCCUUUUAUCAGCUGUUGAUUUAUUAUUAAAUUGGAAUCCUUGCUUUAUUGUCAGAACAACCGUAUGAGAAGUAUACCUCCUUGGAAACAUGUUUAGCUUGACUACAAUUCUGUGAUUUUAAUUCACUCAAAUCUACAAAUUUCCCCUAAAUCUGAUUAGUAUACUUUGUGAACACUGAAGGCUUCCCUGCCACUAGAGCUGAGAGCAAGAAAAUUCUUUCCCAGUCAUGUGGAACAAGGGAAAAAACAUCCUGUUUGAAAAACAAAAUAGCAGUGAGCAACAGAGGGUAAGUGGAAGAAAAGAAGUGGGGAACGUUAUUUUCUAAAAAUCAAAGGCCUGAAAUCAAUAAAUUUUAAAAUAUUUUCUUUAUGCUUCAGUUCCUAGGUUGUACAAGAGGGCAGUACUGCUGCAAGCUGUGAGGAAGACUGUCAUUAACAUUUCUGAAUCACUGCACCAGUAGCAUGAUAAGCACAAGGGAAGCACCCAUGCAAUGUGCAGUUAGUAUCUAAAAAGGCAGGCCCAGACCACAUCUAAAGUGAAGAAGGUCAUCUGGGAUAGAAAGCCCUGGAUGCCUGGACCAGUACUGCUACGUUCAGAAGAGACCAAGCACUACUGCAAUAGGAGCAUAAUAAAACAGACAUGCUAAGUUCAGGCACUGAUGCUCUGCUGGCCGGCCAACAUACUGAGAACUUGUCAACUGACAACUGCAAAUUUCAGUUGAAGUACAAGUAGCACAAAAACUCAUUCUUGUGGCAGUAUCGAAAGUUCUUUCUCAAAUUGCAUCUGUGGAAUAACAUGCUAACAAAAAGCCCCCAAUAUACCAUUUGUGGUGGUGUCCAGUUAUAAGGAUUUAUCUACACAUGGAAAUUAAUUUGGAAGAUAGCAGGUUGUGAAUUCAAAGGUCAGUACCGAGUCUUGAUAAUCUUCCCAUGUGGGAGCACUUGCAAGUGUUUCAUGUGAAAUGAACUGAGAGCAGAUUAGAUACUCAGAAUAAAGUUGUCUCAUUCUGGAA